AACGAACGCUGGCGGCAUGCCUAACACAUGCAAGUCGAACGAGACCUUCGGGUCUAGUGGCGCACGGGUGCGUAACGCGUGGGAACCUGCCCUUAGGUUCGGAAUAACUCCCCGAAAGGGGUGCUAAUACCGGAUAAUGUCUUCGGACCAAAGAUUUAUCGCCUUUGGAUGGGCCCGCGUUGGAUUAGCUAGUUGGUAGGGUAAAAGCCUACCAAGGCGACGAUCCAUAGCUGGUCUGAGAGGAUGAUCAGCCACACUGGGACUGAGACACGGCCCAGACUCCUACGGGAGGCAGCAGUGGGGAAUAUUGGACAAUGGGCGAAAGGCUGAUCCAGCAAUGCCGCGUGAGUGAUGAAGGCCUUAGGGUUGUAAAGCUCUUUUACCCGGGAUGAUAAUGACAGUACCGGGGGAAUAAGCUCCGGCUAACUCCGUG
rnacentral:rRNA from 1 species